rnacentral:rRNA from 1 species
AGACGUAGGGCGCAAGCGUUGUCCGGAUUUAUUGGGCGUAAAGAGCUCGUAGGCGGCUGGUCGCGUCGACUGUGAAAACCCACGGCUCAACUGUGGGCUUGCAGUCGAUACGGGCUGGCUUGAGUGCGGUAGGGGAGACUGGAAUUCCUGGUGUAGCGGUGAAAUGCGCAGAUAUCAGGAGGAACACCGGUGGCGAAGGCGGGUCUCUGGGCCGUUACUGACGCUGAGGAGCGAAAGCGUGGGGAGCGAACAGGAUUAGAUACCCUGGUAGUCCACGCUGUAAAUGUUGGGCGCUAGGUGUGGGGGGCCUCUCCGGUCCUCUGUGCCGUAGCUAACGCAUUAAGCGCCCCGCCUGGGGAGUACGGCCGCAAGGCUAAA